GCCGACGUAGCUCAGCGUGGUAGAGCACAUCAUUCGUAAUGAUGGGGCCUCCGGUUCGACCCCGGUCGUCGGCU
rnacentral:tRNA from 1 species